AAGUCGUAACAAGGUUUCCGUAGGUAUGUAUUAAAUCCUCAUCAACCUUUUUAUUUGAACAUUUACUAACAUUCUCUUCUAGGUGAACCUGCGGAAGGAUCAUUAAAAGAGAUCAUUUUUCCUGGUGUAAAAGCCGGAAAAAUCCUCCAACCCUUGUCUAUCAAAACAAAAUUUGUUGCUUCGGCGAGCUUUAAAGAAAAAUUUAAUUAAUUUGGCUCUCGUCUUUUUAAUUAUCUAUUUCUUCGCCAGAAGACAUUAAAAUUUAAACUCUGAAUCAAACAAUUGUCUGAAUCAAAUUUAUAAAAAUUGGCUUCAUAACCCAAUUAAAUUAAAAUACAA
rnacentral:misc_RNA from 1 species